rnacentral:tRNA from 2 species
AGUUAAUGAACUUGAUAUAAGUAUAUAUUUUGAAAAUAUAACAUAGUAAUAAAAUUUACUAUUAACUU